UCUGCGCCCCUGUUCGGUCUCGUGCUCCUCAGGGACACCGUACGCGAGCCCAACUGCUCGAGAGACCCCGCACCCCCUCCUCGAUCUUCCUCGUUGCCGCACGCGGGAGCUAGGGCGAAACGGAUCUCGCAGAGUCCACGCUGACCGCCGCCGUUCGCCGAAGGAUUCUGUCGUCCGGAGCCGGAGGAACAAGCUCGACCGACGCACCGGAGCAGCCGCCGUUCACAUCCUCGCCGCUGUCAGUAGAGGACGCCCCGCCGCUGUUGAACACCACCACCACUUCCGCUACUCACCGCCGCACCCAUCCGUCGUUUCACCUUCGCCGGAGACCCGCCGGAGACGCGCCGCCACCGACGCCCGAGACCGCCGUCCUUGGUUGCUGAUUAUCCGGAGUGCGACGCGAGCUAUUGUCAGGAGUGUGACUUUCUGAACCAGAACCAAGGCAAGUUACAUGUUGAUCAUCCUUUACCUAUUUUUUCUAUGCACGUAGUUAUAUCACACUAUGAAUAUAUGCAUGUAUAGGAAUACUAUAUAUUUUGGUUAUGCUGUUGAGCUAUCUUUCCGUCUUUGCAAAUCGUGGUAGUUGUAGGUUGCUAUGCUUUGUAGACGGGGGUGGUUCGUGUAUUCAUUGAGCUUAUGUGAGGAUUAUAUAUAUAAUAAUUUGAGUAGUAACUCAGGACUUAAUUCAC